AUGCGGUUUCCCCCACGGGCGGCGGGCAUGCUGUUUUUCCCGCGGGCAGCGACCUCAAAGUCUCGGUUGGGAGGGGGGCUCACCCCUCCUCGUCAUUCUCCAUCGCAAGCCCCCCACUCUUCCCUGUGCGGUGCAGACCAACAGUCGUCCGGCGGGGAGAAGGCAGGGUGUCACCGACAGGAGCGCACCGCGUAG
rnacentral:rRNA from 1 species